GCGCUGGUGGUUCAGUGGUAGAAUUCUCGCCUGCCACGCGGGAGACCGAGGUUCGAUUCUCCGCUAGCGCA
rnacentral:tRNA from 1 species